GCUAGUUGGUGAGGUAAUGGCUUACCAAGGCUAUGAUCUAUAGCUGGUCUGAGAGGAGAUCAGCCACACUGGAACUGAGAUACGGUCCAGACUCA
rnacentral:rRNA from 1 species